UACGUAGGGGGCAAGCGUUGUCCGGAUUUAUUGGGCGUAAAGCGCGCGUAGGCGGCAAGGUAUGUCGUGCGUGAAAUCUCCCGGCUUAACUGGGGAGGGCCGUGCGAAACUGCCUGGCUUGAGGUCGGAAGGGGAAAGUGGAAUUCCGGGUGUAGUGGUGGAAUACGUAGAUAUCCGGAGGAACACCAGCGGCGAAGGCGGCUUUCUGGUCCGAUUCUGACGCUGAGGCG
rnacentral:rRNA from 1 species